GUGCUUACCUGGCAGGAGAGACACCUCGAUUGCGAAGGUUGGUUUCCCCGGGCGAGGCUCACCCAUUGGGUGCUGCCCCCUGCGAUUUCCCCAAAUGGGUGAAACGCGACUGCAUGAUUGGUGGGAGUGGGGGACUGUGUUCGCACUCUCCCCUA
rnacentral:snRNA from 1 species